rnacentral:rRNA from 1 species
GAUGAACGCUAGCUACAGGCUUAACACAUGCAAGUCGCGGGGCAGCAUUUCCUUAGCUUGCUAAGGGAGAUGGCGACCGGCGCACGGGUGAGUAACGCGUAUCCAACCUUCCCAUGUCCACGGGAUAGCCCGUCGAAAGGCGGAUUAAUACCGUAUGAGGUCACAUGCGGGCAUCUAAAUGUGACGAAAGGUUUGGCGGACAUGGAUGGGGAUGCGUCCGAUUAGCUGGUUGGCGGGGUAACGGCCCACCAAGGCGACGAUCGGUAGGGGUUCUGAGAGGAAGGUCCCCCACAUUGGAACUGAGACACGGUCCAA